GAUGAACGCUAGCUACAGGCUUAACACAUGCAAGUCGAGGGGCAGCAUUUCUUAGCAAUAAGAAGAUGGCGACCGGCGCACGGGUGAGUAACACGUAUCCAACCUACCAUUUACUUGGGGAUAGCCUUUCGAAAGAAAGAUUAAUACCCAAUGGCAUAGUUUUUCCGCAUGGUUUAACUAUUAAAGAAUUUCGGUAAUUGAUGGGGAUGCGUUCCAUUAGAUUGUUGGUGAGGUAACGGCUCACCAAGUCUUCGAUGGAUAGGGGUUCUGAGAGGAAGGUCCCCCACAUUGGAACUGAGACACGGUCCAAACUCCUACGGGAGGCAGCAGUGAGGAAUAUUGGUCAAUGGGCGAGAGCCUGAACCAGCCAAGUAGCGUGAAGGAUGAAGGCUCUAUGGGUCGUAAACUUCUUUUAUAAAGGAAUAAAGUGAGCCACGUGUGGCUUUUUGUAUGUACUUUAUGAAUAAGGAUCGGCUAACUCCGUGCCAGCCGCCGCCGUACAC
rnacentral:rRNA from 1 species